GACGAACGCUGGCGGCGUGCUUAACACAUGCAAGUCGAGCGGUAAGGCCCUUUCGGGGGUACACGAGCGGCGAACGGGUGAGUAACACGUGGGUGACCUGCCCUCAGCUCUGGGAUAAGCCUGGGAAACUGGGUCUAAUACUGGAUAUGACUCCACGGUGCAUGUCGUGGGGUGGAAAGCCUUGUGCGGCUGAGGAUGGGCCCGCGGCCUAUCAGCUUGUUGGUGGGGGAUGGCCUACCAAGGCGACGACGGGUAGCCGGCCUGAGAGGGCGACCGGCCACACUGGGACUGAGAUACGGCCCAGACUCCUACGGGAGGCAGCAGUGGGGAAUCUUGCGCAAUGGGCGAAAGCCUGACGCAGCGACGCCGCGUGAGGGAUGACGGCCU
rnacentral:rRNA from 1 species